AACGAACGCUGGCGGCAUGCCUAACACAUGCAAGUCGAACGAUGCCUUCGGGCAUAGUGGCGCACGGGUGCGUAACGCGUGGGAAUCCGCCUUUCGGUUCGGAAUAACUCAGGGAAACUUGAGCUAAUACCGGAUAACGUCGCAAGACCAAAGAUUUAUCACCGAAAGAUGAGCCCGCGUAGGAUUAGCUAGUUGGUGAGGUAAAGGCUCACCAAGGCGACGAUCCUUAGCUGGUCUGAGAGGAUGAUCAGCCACACUGGGACUGAGACACGGCCCAGACUCCUACGGGAGGCAGCAGUGGGGAAUAUUGGACAAUGGGCGAAAGCCUGAUCCAGCAAUGCCGCGUGAGUGAUGAAGGCCUUAGGGUUGUAAAGCUCUUUUACCCGGGAAGAUAAUGACGGUACCGGGAGAAUAAGCCCCGGCUAACUCCGUG
rnacentral:rRNA from 1 species